CCUACGGGAGGCAGCAGUGGGGAAUUUUGGACAAUGGGGGCAACCCUGAUCCAGCCAUGCCGCGUGAGUGAAGAAGGCCUUCGGGUUGUAAAGCUCUUUCGGCCGGGAAGAAAUCGCUUAGGUUAAUACCCUGAGUGGAUGACGGUACCGGAAUAAGAAGCACCGGCUAACUACGUGCCAGCAGCCGCGGUAAU
rnacentral:rRNA from 1 species